rnacentral:lncRNA from 1 species
UCUAGCUCUCUCUCUCUCACUGAGCUCUUCGAUUCUUUUCUACUGUUGCCUAGUCUCCUCUCUGACUUGACCGUCGGAGGGUCCCCGCCGGAGUCACCUCCGGUCAGUGGGGACUUCUUUUGCAGGCGCUCGUUUUCGACGAUCAGGCGACGAAGGGAUUGGCCGCAACAAUGUCUAAAGUGAUCGAUUUACCUAUUCUUUCUCUUUAGAGAAAUAUCUAUGGUGGAUAUCAG